rnacentral:rRNA from 1 species
UACGAAGGGGGCUAGCGUUGCUCGGAAUCACUGGGCGUAAAGGGUGCGUAGGCGGAUUUCUAAGUCAGGGGUGAAAUCCUGGAGCUCAACUCCAGAACUGCCUUUGAUACUGGGAAUCUCGAGUCCGGGAGAGGUGAGUGGAACUGCGAGUGUAGAGGUGAAAUUCGUAGAUAUUCGCAAGAACACCAGUGGCGAAGGCGGCUCACUGGCCCGGUACUGACGCUGAGGUGCGAAAGCGUGGGGAGCAGACAGG